UACGUAGGGUGCAAGCGUUAAUCGGAAUUACUGGGCGUAAAGCGUGCGCAGGCGGUUAUGUAAGACAGGUGUGAAAUCCCCGGGCUUAACCUGGGAACUGCAUUUGUGACUGCAUAGCUAGAGUACGGUAGAGGGGGAUGGAAUUCCGCGUGUAGGCAGUGAAAUGCGUAGAUAUCGAAGAGGAACACCUGCGGCGAAGGCGGGUUGCUGGGCCGACACGUGACGCUGAUGCGCGAAAGCCAGGGGAGCGAACGGG
rnacentral:rRNA from 1 species